UGAAGAAACUCAGGCUACUCUGUAUGAAAGCCUAGACAGAGAAAUUAUCCUGAUAGUUCACCAUGCAUUGCACUUUAAACAUCGGGGCUGAAGUGGUACUGGAGACUGCGUGAAGAGGACUCGUAGAUGAAUCACUCAUGAAUGUUGGAGCAGGGGUCUGAGCAGCACCACUUAGAGAUAAUGAGGAGUCAAAACACCAGAGCUGAGUCAGCCCAGCCCUACCUCUGACUUGGCAUUCUUGCAAACUCAUAUUCAUGAAGAAAGUCAGAGUGCAUGUCGCAGGUGCAAUCCUGGGUCUUCAGCUAUGUGAUACAAAAACAGAAGGUGAUAAAUAUAACCAAGGAUUGGAGCAGGAAAAGAAAAAAAACCAAUCUGGGAAAUGAGACUGUAAAGUUUACAAUGCUACUGAAUUCCAAACACUUUCAGAAGUAGUGGAAAGAAGAAUGCAAAGAAAAUGAGUUUAUUUUAAAAACUGAACUUUUUUUGGUUUUGCAAUUUAAAGUUGUACAAAUUA